CAGCAUCCCGGGCAAAAGAGGUGGAUUAUUCGGUACAAGCAUACCCCCUGCCGACGAGCUGGAAAAACACAGCUCUCCGGACAACACACCCUCCCCCCGAAAAAACCAACCAAACCCAAACCAGCUACAGCCAUGGGAUGGACCCGGGCGUGGGGGGGCCGGGGCAGCCCGGAGGUGAAGCCCGGCGGCUGGAGAAGGGCCGGGCCCCGGCAAGGGGUUGGAGCCGGGAGUCGCCCACAACAGGAGUGAAACACCCGCCCAGCCCGUCUCACCAGGCCCGGCAUUUACAAGUUUUUCCUCAAGAGGUUUGCGGUUUCCAGCCUUUCCCACCCGGCCCCUCCGCGCAGCACCCGGGACCCCUCUGAGCGCCUCCAGCCCCGCAGGCGGGGCCGUGCCCGGGGCAUCCCCGGGGCUGUUUUUUUCCGAUGCUUGCGGCUGGAUUGCACUUUCCCCUCCGCUGUUUGCUUUUCUUUUCUUUUUGUCUUUUUCUUUUUUUUUUUUGAAUUCUGCUCCCCCCGCUGCGCGGCUCCCCCCGCAGUGCUGCCCGCCCCGCCAAUCCGGGCCCUGCGGGGCUGGGGGCUCCGGCAGCGCCUUUAAAAGCGGAGCCCUUUGUGCGCCGGAGCCCCGCACCGGCAGCUGCCGGGAUAUACCGUGCCGGGAUAUACCGUGCCGGGAUAUACCGUGCCGUGCCGCCGCCGCCGGGAGGAGCCCUGGACCUCGCUGCACCGGCAGCCCCGGAACCGAGCAUCCCCCCCCUCGGCAGGUAUUUCAUCCUCCCCCCCUGCACCCCAAUAAAUGUGCCUGGCUUGCCCCGCUCGCCGAUUUGCCGGGUCUGGCUUGGUCGGCUUUUAUUAUUUAUUUACUUCUUUUUUUAUUUCCGUUUUUUUUCCUAUACCCGUCUUCCUUCUCUCCUCCCUCGCACCCGCUGGGUUGGGAUGGUGGGGCUGAGGCUGCUGCGCUGGUGGCACUGGAGCAGGCUGAGGUGACAAGGCUGCUGGAGCCGGGAUGCUGCCCGCUGGUGGAUGUGUCGGGCUCGUCGGGGACAGCUCAGUGUCACUGCUGCUGAGGGUGGGGGUCCUUCCAUGUAAGGCUUCAUAACAGCUUCAAGGGACAGUGGGACUGCUGCAGGGCCUGGAUGGAGAGAACUCCCCUCUGCUCUGGAAAAGUGGCACUGGCUGCAAGCAUGAAAUGAGAGGGACACGGGAAGUGACAGCUCUGAGUGACAGCCACCACCAAGCACAGCAGUGUGGCCGGCCCAGCAGCAUGUCUCCUUCCUGCAGACCAAGCCACAGGUGAGUGGGAUGUCACCUACCCAACACAGGAGCAGAGCCCAGCCCUCAGAGCAGUCUCUGGUAUGGUGGGAGGGAACAAACCUGGCCAGAGCCUGGCAUGGGGAAGAAAAUUGGUCACAGCAGCUGAAGGUCCCCAUCACCACACACUCUGCCCCAGUGCCACCUGGAAGUUCCCUGACAGGCAGAUUCCCUCUGGCACAAGCAAAGCACCAGGGGGUAAAUGCCCUUGUGCCAGGAAGAUGAGAAUCCCAGCAGGAUGGGAUGUGAACAGGAUAAAUGGCCUGUAAUGAUCCUGAAAGCACCUUUGGGUGACAGAGGCCAGGUGCCUGUGACACUGACUGGCAAAACAUUGUUCCAGUGGCACAUGGUAACUGUUUCUGCUCCUCCAGUAUGGUGCUAAGGCUGAUCCCCCCUGCCCCUCUCUGGGCCCUGGCUCCUGCUGCUGCCAUUUAUCCCUGUGCCCUCCUUCCCAGCUGCCUUCCCGUGCUGCAGGGAGGAAGAGCACAGCUGAAAAUACACCUACUGUGUCCCCCUUCCUGCCUGUUUGCUUCCUCCCCUCCUGCCUUUGCCUUUCAGUGCAGCUUCCCAAGAAAAUAAAGGUCACAGCCUCACACUUUGCCUAUACACACACACACAAACACACAAACACACACACACACGUGUGUGUGGCUGGGAUCCUUCUAAUAAACUUUGACCACAUUUCCAUCCCUGUGGACAGAGGGGCAGCGACCUGCAAACAUGCUGAGGUCAACGGGGCUGGCAAAAAUGUGCAGCUGGGAGAGGGAGAGAGAGGCUUUCCCUUCCUUUAGCACAGUCAGGCUGCUCCACUGCUCAAGCCCUUAAUGGACAGGGGAGAAGCCACACAUGGCGCCCCCAGCACACCCCUCCUGCAGGAAGGGCUUUGAUCAGGGUUCACACCUGAGCUGUGCUGCUGGGGGAGCUCUCUGGGGUCCCAGGGCAUGACUGCCAGCCCCCUCACCUGGGGUGGGCCCUGACAGACUCAUCCCACAGCCAUGGGGCUCCCAGUGCUGUGCCUAAAGCCACAGGCUGGCCCCUGAACCCCUGUCAGCCACAGCCUGCACUCCACACACCCCAGAGAAGCCAAAUUCCAGAGGCAGCAAGGUGACACCAAAUGUGCUCAUCUCACAGCUCCCCCACUCCAUUCUCCCUCCAAAAAAGGCACAACUGCCCAAAACUUCCAGCAGAAUCCACCUAUCAGAAUUUAGGCUGAGAACACAGGGGUUGGAAUGAUUUAUCUGACAGUUUUCCUGAAAGCUCCCUUCCGGCCUUGGUGUUGUCGCUGUGUUUCUAUGUUCUCUCAGCAGUGGGGUGCCUGGGGUGAUGGGGGCUCCAUCUGGAGCUGCCCACAGGCUGGGGACAAUGAGUGGGUAACUCACAGUGCCUCGUGGGAUGCUCUUCCUUCACUUUGUUCAGUCUAAAAUGUAGUUUAAUUAUUAAAAUACCCUUUGGGAAGAGCUUCAGGUUGAGCAGGCCAAGCACAAAACCCUCUCAGACUCUGUGGCAGUGGGGGACUCAAAGCACCUUCACUGCUUGGUGAAAAUGUGACUCCUGGACACGGCUUGGUACAAGUGUCCCUUUCUGUCCCAAGGCUGCAGGCAGUGCUCCGGCGGGAGCACAGAGGCACUCGAUGGGGAUCAAGCUCACCUUCCUGACAUGUAAUUCCUCUGGGGCAGUGGCAUCUACUUGUGGGCAAGCAAGGGCUGCAGGGCAUGGGGGGAUGCUCCCCUAAACUCGCUGCUCCACAGGGCAGGCAUGGUGCCCGCAGCAGCCACCCAGCACGAGCCAGCCAUCCCUCCGCCCUUCCUUCCCUGCUGUCUCUCGAGCUCCAAAUGGGGUUUAUUGUGUCCUGGUUUGCAGGCCCGGGCCGUGGCAGGGCUCUGGGGGCUGUGUCCCCCCAGCCCGGUGGGGCUGAACCUGGCCAGGGGACAGGCACAGCUCUGCCCGCUCGCAGCUUUGGCCGCCGGCCCUUAACGCUGGGGGUUUCUGCUCCUUAUCGCCGGGACGUGGUUUAUUCCCAGGAAGGAAGUCAGGCAAAAGCACGCUAUUAAAAUGCUCCAGUGGCCUUUGCAACGGGAAGCCCUCGGGCUUUGCCAAGCAGAUGCCUCAAAUUAGGGUAGGGGGAUGCAAGGAUCGGCCUUUGAGCGCCGGGAGGCUGCCCCAGUGCCCCACUUCGCCUCCCUCCCCACUGAGGCAGCCCGGGGGGGUCCCUGGGCGGAGCAGAGGGGAGCGGGGGGCCCCGGUUGUGUGGAGGAGGCAGGAAGGGCAGAUUGAGUUAUCUCUGUGCCGGGGGCUGAGGGCGGCGCUGCGCUGGCACCCGGCCCGCGGCAAUUACUGCAGCGGCAUCGCUCCGUGCGCGGCGAUGAUGCCACGCUGCAGGAAUGGCAGGGGUGGCUCGCCUCUGUCCCCGGGGCUCCGCGAGCCGCCAGGCUGGGACCGGGCUCAUUCAGCCGUGUCCUGUGUCCGGUUCACCCGGCCCUGGUGGGGGGUCCCGAACCUUCCUGGCGGUGCGCCCCGGGAUGGUGCUGGUGCUGCUCGGGAUGUUCGCCCUCCCGGCUGCGGACAGGGAACUUCUGCCUUGAAGAAAGUGUGGGGACAUUGCUGUGACCUGGUGUCCUGGUCCCUUGCAUGCUUUAUGGUCGUGAGCAGGAUCGAGCUCUCAUUUCCACCACACACUGCACAUUCCUGGUCUUGGCGGUCACAGAGGCCAAGAAAAUGGACCUGAAGGUGAAAACAACUGCCUUGCCUACCCCUCUCCCAGGGGAUUGUAGGCAGCUCUAGUGUGGGAUGUGGUGUGGCACUUUCCAGCCUCUCCUCAACCAGAAUUCACUUCUCUUUCCCCAACUAUAAUAUUUAUUUCUCUUCAAAAAAUACCACUCCUGCCAUUCUCCUGCCCUGUGAUACCCAGGCAGCAGAACACAGUCCCUGCCACACUGUGACAGCUAUUUCAUCCCACUGCCCUCACUCUGUCCUGCCACCCAGUUGCCCUGGGCUCCCAGUUGCCCUGGUGGAUACUGAGAUUGCAGCUUUUGGUGAGCUUCCCUCCCUCACAGCCCAGGGUGCUGGCUCGGACGCCCAAAGCUGGGAUGCUCACACAUCUCUGUCACCAAGGCUCUUCUCCAGCCUUGCCUCUGGGUCAGGGUUUGCUGUUGCUCUGCUUCACAGAAGGACUCAAACCCCAGCACUCAUCCAGCACUCAGGGCUGCCCCCUCAAUCAUAUUUCUCUUCUUGCAGACACUCAUUAGCUCUGCUGCCUGCUGACCAUCCCUUGGGAUCUCCACAGGGGGACAGCCACCCGCCACCCAGCCUGCUUCUGCUGCAGCCUGCAGGGCAGCUCCCACUGCCCUCAAGUGACCUUGUUUGGGGCCUGAUGGCUAUUAAUCCAUACUCAACAGUCCACUGGGUGAACAGGCCAGCUGCUGCUUGAGGGGUGGAGAGGCAUGAGGAUAGUCAAGAGGGAGCUGCUCCUGGACAGAUCCAAACCAGGGCUAGAGAUGCAGGGACAGCUGAAGCCUGUAUUGCAGCAUAGCAGAGCAGCUGGAGAGCGGGGAAGGUGACCCUGGUCCCCAGGGCCAGCACCCGGCCGUGUGCUGGGGAUGGGCUCUUCCCUCGUGCUCCCAGGCGCUGCUGCAGGAGGCAGCACAGUCCAGACACAUCCCAGCAGCACAGGGCACAGGCAGGCCAGCGGGUUCAUUGCCAUGCUGAGCUCCUGCGCAGGCAGGGGAUCAGAACGGAACUGAAUAUUUAAUGCCGACAAAGUGCCUUGAUGCUGGUGGCUGGAAGGCGCCAGGGAGGGCCGGGAGCCGUGAUCAGGGUACUGCUCACUGUGCACAGCUCACGCAGGGCAGGGCGGCACCAGCGCGUCCUCUGCCUUGGUGUUUUGUACCCUCAGCUGAUGAAGGCAGAUUUAUGGGUCAAUAGCCCUGACUGGCACCCAGCAAGAGCACCAUGGGGUAGAGUAGUGGGGCACAACAGGGGCUGGGGGCUCAUGCUGAGGAUGGCACCAGGCACUGGUCCCAGCCCGUCUGCAGGUGAGCUGUGCUCUGCACUGCUGCUUGGAUUGGUUUCUCCUUGGAAGGAUAUGGCGGGGAGGGGGGCAAUGCAAGCCCUAUGCAAGGGGAGAUGUUUUGGUUGCACCCAGCUUAAAGAAUGAGUGGUGCCCAAAGCCAGGGUGAGCUGGGAAUGACUGGUGUGUAAUGGGAAGUGGAAGAGACAGGGCUGUCAUUGCCAGGACAAGAUAAAUCUAAUAGGGGGGACAGAAUAAAAAACAGGUGGAAUACGAGGGAAGGAGUCAGGAAUGCCAUGGGCUUCAGAGGACAGGAUGAGGCCCUUGCAGGGGAUCUGUGGCAAGGAGGGCUGGGCAGGGCCAGGGAGCAGCAUCCCAAAAGCCUCCUGCAUCCCCAGCCACACAUGCCUUCCAGUGCCACCAUUCCCUCCAUUUCCCCUCCCUGGGGCACUUGGGGCCAUAUCCAUGGGCACAGGGGACAGGACAGAGCAGCAGGGACCCCAGGCUCUCCUCUCAGCCCUGAUGUUGGCUUCAGUGUGACCAUUGACGGGGGCACAGCUGGAACUGAACUACUGGGGAGAGGAAGAAUGUCUGGGGACCCUGCUGCUGGUGCCCAUGGCGGUCUGGUCCAGCCUGCCUGUGGGCUGGGGCUGUGCCCGGUGCCAUGCACCACAGUCCCUUCUGCUUGUCCCGUGAUUCACUCUUCUGCCCUCACAAUGAGGGAAAAAAUGGGGAACACAGCCUGGACGUACAACGUGGCUGCCAGAUGUGUGUGCCCCCAUAUGCAUACUGACACCCCCCUGAGCCACACACAGGCUCCCACGUACACCCCCCUGGUGCUGAUGUGCACACUUGCACACACUCUUGCUGUCACACCCGCAUAGCCUGGCACCCCCACAGCCAUGCCAGCACACACAGUGCCACAUGUGCAGAGACACACCUGCACUGUCACACCCGGGCACAUGGCCACCUGUGCCGGCUGUCCUGCCACCCCGCACCCACAGCCCAUCACAUGUGCCAUGUGCUCUCCCAUGUGCACACCCUGCCACAGCGGUGCCCCACUCUGUGCACACGUGGGCACACCGGCACACAGGGGUGCGCACACAGCCCCUCCCCGAGCCUCCCUUGUACGGUGCUUUGGGACCACCGCCGGAUGGCUGAGCCCCCGGGACGUGCUGCUUCUACCGGGCUGAGACCGCCACAAACUCAUCACACGUGGAUUCGGGACAGGUCUGAAAUGACGCCGCUCGUCAGACACAGCCCGGCAUGGCGGGGGUGCCGGCGGUGCGGUGGGACCGAGGAACACGCGUGCCCGGCCGCGGGGCACAGGCGGACGGGGGCUCUUUGUUCCUGCCUCCGCCGGUCCUCCAUGAUGUGGAGAGGGCGCGGGUGAGGCCGGCGCUGCGAAAUGGC